rnacentral:rRNA from 1 species
GCAGCCUGCAACUCGGCUGCACGAAGCCGGAAUCGCUAGUAAUCGCAGAUCAGCAUGCUGCGGUGAAUACGUUCCCGGGUCUUGUACGCACCGCCCGUCACACCAUGGGAGCCGGGAAUGCCCGAAGUCAGCGGCCCAACCGAAAGGAGGGAGCUGCCGAAGGCAGGCCUGGUGACUGGGGUGAAGUCGUAACAAGGUACC